GACGAACGCUGGCGGCGUGCUUAACACAUGCAAGUCGAACGAAGAGCGAUGGAAGCUUGCUUCUAUCAAUCUUAGUGGCGAACGGGUGUGUAACGCGUAAUCAACCUGCCCUUAUGAGGGGGACAACAGUUGGAAACGACUGCUAAUACCGCAUACGAUCUGACCUCGGCAUCGAGGAUAGAUGAAAGGUGGCCUCUACAUGUAAGCUAUCACUGAAGGAGGGGACUGCGUCUGAUUAGCUAGUUGGAGGGGUAACGGCCCACCAAGGCGAUGAUCAGUAGCCGGUCUGAGAGGAUGAACGGCCACAUUGGGACUGAGACACGGCCCAGACUCCUACGGGAGGCAGCAGUGGGGAAUCUUCCGCAAUGGACGAAAGUCUGACGGAGCAACGCCGCGUGAGUGAUGACGGCCUUCGGGUUGUAAAGCUCUGUUAAGCGGGACGAAAGGCCUUUUUGCGAAUAGUGAGAAGGAUUGACGGUACCGGAAUAGAAAGCCACGGCUAACUACGUG
rnacentral:rRNA from 1 species